UACGUAGGGUGCGAGCGUUAAUCGGAAUUACUGGGCGUAAAGUGUGCGCAGGCGGCCGAGCAAGUCGAGUGUGAAAGCCCCGAGCUUAACUUGGGAACUGCGCUCGAAACUACUUGGCUAGAGUGUGGCAGAGGGAGGUGGAAUUCCACGUGUAGCGGUGAAAUGCGUAGAGAUGUGGAGGAACACCGAUGGCGAAGGCAGCCUCCUGGGCCAACACUGACGCUGAGACGCGAAAGCGUGGGGAUCAAACAGG
rnacentral:rRNA from 1 species